AUCGUAUCGAAGUACUGGGUGAUCAGCACCAUGUCCAUCACGUCCUUGGCGCUCGUGCCGGGCACGUUCUCCGCGAAGCCGAUGACGCUGUCCCUCAGCCCGUCCACGAUGGCCUGGCGCUGGCGGGCGAUACCGAGUCCGGAGAGGUACUUGGCUUCCGCUUCACCCUCGGCGCGCUUGAUCUGGACGAUCUUCUCAGCCUCCGCCUUCUCGUUU